GAGACGUUGCGGAAUGUAAGACCGCUGAGCCAAAGGCGGCAUCGUCUCUAGACUGUUGGACCAAUGCGUAGUGCAAUGCAAAGGUAUGGAUGGAAGACCAUGUGGCCGCGCGGCAGAUUUCCUGUAUGGGAACAUGGACCAAGAAUGCGGCAGAUGAAGCUUGAGCCCGAGUAGAGUGGGCAGUGAGAUGGCCCGUCUGAGCAUGAGCCAAGUCAUAGCAAGCCCGAAUACAUGAUGUAAACCAAGAUGCGAUACGUUGGGUGGAGAUUGCCAUGCCCUUCAUACGUUCUGCCACCGCUACAAAUAGCUGAGGUGAGCGCCGGAAGGGCUUGGUCCUCUCGAUGUAGAAGGCGAGAGCCCUCCGGACAUCCAAAGUAUGGAGCUGUUGCUCUCGUCGUGAUGAAUGCGGCUUUGG